rnacentral:rRNA from 1 species
UGGCGGACGGGUGAGUAAUGUCUGGGAAACUGCCCGAUGGAGGGGGAUAACUACUGGAAACGGUAGCUAAUACCGCAUAACGUCUACGGACCAAAGCGGGGGACCUCCGGGCCUCGCGCCAUCAGAUGAACCCAUAUGGGAUUAGCUAGUAGGUGAGGUAACGGCUUACCUAGGCGACGAUCCCUAGCUGGUCUGAGAGGAUGAUCAGCCACACUGGGACUGAGACACGGCCCAG